UGUUUCGGCUAGGGGGCCAUCCCGGCUUACCAACCCGAUGCAAACUGCGAAUACCGGAGAAUGUUAUCACGGGAGACACACGGCGGGUGCUAACGUCCGUCGUGAAGAGGGAAACAACCCAGACCGCCAGCUAAGGUCCCAAAGUCAUGGUUAAGUGGGAAACGAUGUGGGAAGGCCCAGACAGCCAGGAUGUUGGCUUAGAAGCAGCCAUCAUUUAAAGAAAGCGUAAUAGCUCACUGGUCGAGUCGGCCUGCGCGGAAGAUGUAACGGGGCUAAACCAUGCACCGAAGCUGCGGCAGCGACGCUGAUGCGUUGUUGGGUAGGGGAGCGUUCUGUAAGCCUGCGAAGGUGGCCUGUGAGGGUUGCUGGAGGUAUCAGAAGUGCGAAUGCUGACAUAAGUAACGAUAAAGCGGGUGAAAAGCCCGCUCGCCGGAAGACCAAGGGUUCCUGUCCAACGUUAAUCGGGGCAGGGUGAGUCGACCCCUAAGGCGAGGCCGAAAGGCGUAGUCGAUGGGAAACGGGUUAAUAUUCCCGUACUUGGUGUUACUGCGAAGGGGGGACGGAGAAGGCUAUGUUGGCCGGGCGACGGUUGUCCCGGUUUAAGCGUGUAGGCUGGUUUUCCAGGCAAAUCCGGAAAAUCAAGGCUGAGGCGUAACGACGAGGCACUACGGUGCUGAAGCAACAAAUGCCCUGCUUCCAGGAAAAGCCUCUAAGCAUCAGGUAACAUCAAAUCGUACCCCAAACCGACACAGGUGGUCAGGUAGAGAAUACCAAGGCGCUUGAGAGAACUCGGGUGAAGGAACUAGGCAAAAUGGUGCCGUAACUUCGGGAGAAGGCACGCUGACACGUAGGUGAAGUGAUUUACUCAUGGAGCUGAAGUCAGUCGAAGAUACCAGCUGGCUGCAACUGUUUAUUAAAAACACAGCACUGUGCAAACACGAAAGUGGACGUAUACGGUGUGACGCCUGCCCGGUGCCGGAAGGUUAAUUGAUGGGGUCAGCGCAAGCGAAGCUCCUGAUCGAAGCCCCGGUAAACGGCGGCCGUAACUAUAACGGUCCUAAGGUAGCGAAAUUCCUUGUCGGGUAAGUUCCGACCUGCACGAAUGGCGUAAUGAUGGCCAGGCUGUCUCCACCCGAGACUCAGUGAAAUUGAACUCGCUGUGAAGAUGCAGUGUACCCGCGGCAAGACGGAAAGACCCCGUGAACCUUUACUAUAGCUUGACACUGAACAUUGAGCCUUGAUGUGUAGGAUAGGUGGGAGGCUUUGAAGUGUGGACGCCAGUCUGCAUGGAGCCGACCUUGAAAUACCACCCUUUAAUGUUUGAUGUUCUAACGUGGACCCGUGAUCCGGGUUGCGGACAGUGUCUGGUGGGUAGUUUGACUGGGGCGGUCUCCUCCUAAAGAGUAACGGAGGAGCACGAAGGUUGGCUAAUCCUGGUCGGACAUCAGGAGGUUAGUGCAAUGGCAUAAGCCAGCUUGACUGCGAGCGUGACGGCGCGAGCAGGUGCGAAAGCAGGUCAUAGUGAUCCGGUGGUUCUGAAUGGAAGGGCCAUCGCUCAACGGAUAAAAGGUACUCCGGGGAUAACAGGCUGAUACCGCCCAAGAGUUCAUAUCGACGGCGGUGUUUGGCACCUCGAUGUCGGCUCAUCACAUCCUGGGGCUGAAGUAGGUCCCAAGGGUAUGGCUGUUCGCCAUUUAAAGUGGUACGCGAGCUGGGUUUAGAACGUCGUGAGACAGUUCGGUCCCUAUCUGCCGUGGGCGCUGGAGAACUGAGGGGGGCUGCUCCUAGUACGAGAGGACCGGAGUGGACGCAUCACUGGUGUUCGGGUUGUCAUGCCAAUG
rnacentral:rRNA from 1 species